AUCGAAGAUUAGAUAGGGGUUCUCUCGCUCUAUAAUGUCCGGCUUGGGAUUCCCCUCAGGUUGCUUCCUAACAGCUAGGUCAUCCCCAUAGGGAGGGAUGUUGUCUGGGUCAUCAAAAGCUACAUUCUCACUGCCCUUUUUCUUCUUCUCCUUCGGCUUCUUCUCCUCUUUGGGGUUUUUGGGCAUCUUUCCCCUGCACUGGUUGCAUAGAAUCAAACUGAGGACCAGCAGCGCUAGGGCUGUGGCACAGCUGCCCACAAUUGCAGGCACCGCCCACAGAGGUCAAAGACCAAGAGUUAUGACGAGAUCAAAUUUAUAUUAUGAACAUCAGAAAGAACAAAAUCAAGCCCAAUUGCUACAACU
ensembl:antisense Gm43539 predicted gene 43539